GAUGAACGCUGACAGAAUGCUUAACACAUGCAAGUCAACUUGAACUUCGGUUUGGGUGGCGGACGGGUGAGUAACGCGUAAAGAACUUGCCUCACAGCGAGGGACAACAUUUGGAAACGAAUGCUAAUACCUGAUAUUAUGAUUUUAGGGCAUCCUAGAAUGAUGAAAGCUAUAUGCGCUGUGAGAGAGCUUUGCGUCCCAUUAGCUAGUUGGAGAGGUAACGGCUCACCAAGGCGAUGAUGGGUAGCCGGCCUGAGAGGGUGAACGGCCACAAGGGGACUGAGACACGGCCCUUACUACUACGUGAGGCAGCAGUGGGGAAUACUGGACAAUGGACCAAGAGUCUGAUCCAGCAAUUCUGUUUGUACGAUGCAGUUUUUCGGAAUGUAAAGUGCUUUCAGUUGGGAAGAAAAAAAUGACGGUACCAACAGAAGAAGUGACGGCUAAAUACGUG
rnacentral:rRNA from 1 species